GGAGAAGCAACAAAAGCAUUUCCUGAAUAUCACCAAACAAAUUUAAAGCUGAAUGCCAAAACAGAACCAGGAAAUCAGAUCCUAACAUUACGUUUCUGGUAGCAAGUCUAAACAGAAUGUUUUGAUCUAUUGAAGGAUCUGAAAGAGAGAAAAAGCGACAAAUACAGUGUUUUGAACAUAGACAAGGUAUUUGUACUCCAAUGAAACUGUUGAGUCACAGGAUCUACAUAGUUCAGAAUUCCAGAUACGGACACAAUAUGUUUUCAGCUUUUAACAGCUCAAGUUCAAGCAGCAAAAGUGUUUCUUCCAAAGAAAAAGUGAAGGUAAGCUGAUAGAUACUAUCAUUCAAGAAAAUGUUCGAGACCAGCAAGUAUCAAUCAUAGGCCAGAAACCAUCAGCCAAGGAUGCUACUCAGAACUGACAGGUUGCCAAACUUUUAAAUUGAUGUUGAACUAGUUAAGCAACACACAGAGAAGACCUACCGAAAAUUCAUUCCACACAAGUU